GAAGAUGUGAGAGGCAGAAAAGAGCACAGCUGGGUCCCUCAUCCUAGGUGGAGUUUGCAGGACUGGCAGAUAGAGGCAGUUUUUGACUGUUAACUGAGGGCAGUUUAAUUCGGAGGCAAUUGUGGGGAGAUGAAAUUUGAACCCCACUGAUGUUGGUUUCUGUGAAAAACUGCCCUUUCAGGAAGACACCUCAGGCUUCAAGACUUCCUCAGUUAAGUGUGAUCUAAAAGGCCCAGGGAAAAAGUUUUAGGAAGUUCAGCUAUUGACGUAAGGCAGAUAACUUGUGAAGUUUGGACAACUCAUCCACUUGUGAAUUUGCAUAUCUCCUACUCUCUUGGAAAUUCCACAUCCAAAAGGCAUUAGAGCUCAGCCUGAGAAAACGGCAGCUUAACAUGGUGGAAGCAAGGUGAUUUCUUGUUAUGUGUAAUUGUGUAGGCAGAGGAGGCCAGCUAAAGGCUUUCUAGGAUGGGGUCUUUGUUGAAUCUUUGACUAAUUGUGUGGUCACAUGUUCGUAUGUUUCUAUUUCCUAAAAUAAAUGUUUACUGCUAAAGAGUUCCCUUUUACAGUAUAAGAGCACUUUCCCAGGAAGUGCUUGCCUAGCAGUCCUUUCCUUUCCACAUGGGUCCUUGCUCAAGAUGGCAAUUUACCAAAAGAGUGUAAUUAUGCAAUUGAAAAGUCUUUAAAUUGGAUUGUCAAGGAAAUGCGUGAAACAUCUCAAAAUAGUCCAGGUGUGAGUAUAAGGUAAUGAGGUGGAUGUUUACAUUUUUAUAAAGCUCUACAAAACAAAAGCAAUGAUUCUAAAUUCUGACUUCCCUCUUCCCCAGAUUAGCAUAGGGUAAUCAAAACAGAGUCCUGGACACCCUUUCCUAGAGCUUUGCUCUUUCUAUUUUGUGUUGCAUGCUUUCAUCAAGAAUCUCUGUUACUUCUUAUUUAUUUAUUUCUCAACUCUAAGGAGGAAUGAUCUCUCCUGUCUGGGGCUUGUUGAUGGAGACGAUGGAAGUUUUCUUUAAUAAAUAACUGCCAGACCCUUUAACCCACUGCACUGGGCUGGGGAUUGAACCCACACCUCUGCAGCAACCCAAACUGCUACAGCCGGAUUCUUAACGCAAUGCACCAACUGCAGGAACUCUUCCCCCAUUCUUCUAGCUGCAGUUCUUUCUUCCAUUCCAUUGCUGCUUUCUGUAAAAGGAGCCAGAAUUGGCCUAAAAAUCAUCUAUAAGUUUCUCACCAAAGUCACAAUAUGAUAGAAAUUAACAUGGGCAUUUGGCAACACAGACAUUUCUGACAUGUGGGUUAUACAGCCUGAUAUGCACAAAUUUCAGAUGGCUAUUAUUUAUUUCUCUUCAAACUUGUAGCUUUAUGACUCCACAAACAUUCCAGCAGUGAUAGCAUUGCUUAAAAUGCCCACACAUCUCUUCUGGAAUUAUCCCCAACACUAGCUGGCAAAUCAUAUAACACACAGUUUCAUCUUUUUUUAAAAAAAAUCAAAAGUAGUAUUGCAUAGCAAGGUCACUUCUACUCACCUUUAUCUAUCAAAAUGGAUUCCAAACAACUUCUCUUUCUCAAAAUCAAAUCCAUAAAGUGGCUGAAUAUUUAUCAGCCACUAUUAAUGGAAUUCUAAAGAAAAUGCCAUAGGCUAGGAAAACAAUUCCUAAAAUGAAGCUCCAUGAAUUUUUAAAAUGGCAGUAGUAUCUGACUAGUAUAGAAACUGCAAGGAGACUUCUUUGGAACAAAUAAUUCUUGUUUAGAUGUGUGAGUUCUUAUAAGUUGGUUAAAAAGAGAGUCUCAUUUGGUCUUGGAAGUGUGAUAAGUUGGUUUAAAAAGACUGUCUCAUUUGAUUUGGGAUAUGAGAUAAAUGGGUCCCAGCCUUGCCAGUAAACAUGGGCUAAGUGCUUAGCAUCUCUAGUUUUCUGAACCUUCACAUUUAAAAUGAAGGAUUUAGAUUAGAAAAUCUCCAAGGACUCUUCUAGCUUCAAUAUAGUACAACCUAUCCAUCAAACAUUUAUUGGGCAACUACUGUGUUGGAUACUUUUCUGGAAAAAAGUGAUAUAAAAUCCUUGUCUGAAAAGCUGUCAAAAUCUAGCUAGUACUGUUGGUGACAUACAAUUUUUAUAUCAUCAGUAUCAUCAUAAUAUGCUCUUUUAUAUAUUAUAUAACAUAAUAUUUGUUGCUGUGUAAACUGGCUCCCUGUUCACCAAAUAUUUUUAUUUUCUUCCAGGCAACUCUUCUCAGACUUUCUUGUAAUUAAUUAGGUGUGGCCAAGUGACUAGAGUCUGGCUAAUCAGAUAUGAGCAGAAGUGACAUAUGCUACUUCUAGGCCUGGUCCAUGAAACCCUCCUAUGUAUGACCUUCUCCGUCUUUCUCCAUCUAGCAUCUGAAAAGAGAGAGUACCAGAGAGCCAGAGAAGUAUGGAACCUCAAAAUGGAAAGAACUUGGGUCCCUGAAUGACUGUGUGAAAUAUAGCCCCCACCCCCAAUACUUCCUGCGCAUCUGCACAGAACUGUGAUAUGAGGGUGAAAUAGCACUUACUGUGUUAAUUCACCCCAGUUUUGGGAUACCUUGCCAAAUAUAUUUACUUUAUAAAGGAAGAGGCCCCAAGUCCUUAGGAGAUAGUGGUGAAGGUGGAUAGACAUUGUAAUAGUACUUCAAGUGGGCAAAGAGCUAGAUGGAGUAUGUGUGCAAAAGGAAAAGGCAGCAUAGAAAAGAGGGGUAAACAGAAGAGUAAGGAACAGACAAUAGUAUAAUUAUUAGAGUACUUGAUUGCCUAACUCCAAGAUGUCUGUCUAAAAAAAAUUACUUGAAAAAAAAGGGCUAUCCAUCACUUUUAGAAGAAAUAGGGAGAUAAAGGUCAAAUAAUCUUAUGUUGUCAUCUCUCCAACACUUGCAGGACAGUAGAAAUUCUUUUGGAAACCAUUCAGUCAAGAGUGAAACCUUGGUAAAAAUUUCAUCUGAAGUGAUGUCUCUAAGUCAUGAUUGCCUCUUGUCUCAAAAUUUAGAAUCUGAUAUGUAGCUAUCUAGAGGUAUAAAAAGACAUUAUUUAAGGAGUUUGGACCAUGUUAACAAUGAUAAAGAUAAAAUCUAAAUGGAUGCUCAAAUUCAUCUAAAAGCCAAUGCGUUUGGGCUACUUUGGCUCAGUGGUAUGGAAGAUGGAACCAUAUUCUAAUUGGUAUUAUAUUGUGGUAGGUAGAAUAAUGGCUUCCCCAGAAUGUCCAUAUACUAAUUCCCAAAACCUGUGAAUGUCCUUAGAUGACAAAAGGAAUUUUGCAGAUGUUAUUAAAUUAAGAAUUUUGAGAUGAACAGAUUAUCCAGAUUAUCUGGGUGGGUCAUUUCCAUGUAAUCACAAGGGUCCUUAUAAAAAGGGAAAAGUAUCAAAAUCAGAGAAGGAGAUCAACAACAGAAGCAUAAGCCAGAGUGAUGUGGGACUUCAUGCCAAGAAAUGCAGGAAGCCUCUAGAAAUAUAAGAGGCAAGGAAAGGGAUUUUUUGCUAAAGGCUUUAGAAGGAACACAGCCCUGUGAACCCAUUUUGGACUUUUAAUUUUCAGAACUAUAAUAAAUUUAUGUUGUUUUAAUCUACUGAAUUAAUGGUAAUUUGUUAUAGCAGCAAAAAAUAACUAACAUGUAAAUAUAAUACACUGGCAUUUGCAUUCUUUUCUAUCCUAUCCAUAACAUACAUAGACCCUGAUAUGUGAGUCACUCUGCUAUAUGGGUACUAUAAAAAAAAAAGGAAUAUUAAAAAAAAAACACACCUUCCUAUAGGUUUUAUGUCUUUGGAAAAAUUAAUUUAUUGAACACUUAGUAUGUUUAUAUGGCAUUUAUACUAUAUGCCUUGUAGUAUAUAUACAUUUAUAUUAUAAUGUAUAUAUUUGCUAUACCUACACCUUAUGGAUAUUUAUCCUAAGGGAUUUACAAACAAUACUUCAUUUAGUUUUCUCAUAAUAACUUAAAGAUAUAGGUACUUUUAUCUCCAUUUUACAGAUAAGAAAACUGAACUUAAGUAAUUUGCCCAAAGUUAUUUUUCUAGGAGGAAACAGAGCUGGAUUUGAGGUCAGCUCUGGCUACUCCAGAAUGAAUGGUAUUUUCUACUAUGAUGUUUAGAAUUCACUGACUUGAAUUAAACCUUUAAAACUCUGAUUUUUAUAACUUAUUUUCAUCCUGCAUAAAUAUUUUAUCAAAAUUGUCUUCUUGUUGCUAUAUGCUUAGUGAAUCACCUAAAUUAAUUUUUAAAACUUAGAUGAUAAUGUUUAACUUCCAGUAAUGGCAAACCAGCUGGUGGUAGAGAAAACAUGAAUAAAACUCAAUAAAACUUGGUAUUUGAAGCAUUGGAGAGCUACUAAAGUAGCUGGGAUAGGAGAGCUACAAUCCUGGAGAGAAAGGAGGGUCUUUGAGGUAAGCCUUACAGUCUGUGCUGUUUUCCAAAUGAGAUAUUUACCAAUUUACAAGUGGUCUGGCAAGAUAGACUGGAAGUAAGAGAAAAGAUCCCUCUAAGUAGGAGAGAAGCUGAGCAAUUUUCAGCAGUGUUAUGGUGCUGGGGAGAUAAUAAUUGGUGUUCAGGACUACUGACUAAGCUUAGACUGGAAGAUGCUGCUGCAAAGGAAAGUGCUAAAAAAUGAGCCUAACCAUCUCAGUUGCUUCUCCUUGAUAGAUUUGUGAAGUAGUAAGUAGCACUGGCCCAAAAGAAGCAAAUCAGGAACAGCAGCCACAAAGAGUUCAUAUAAAACUCCAAAGGACUAAGAAUUGUCAAGACAUUCAUGAAGAAGAAUAAAACUCAAGAUCUUAUACUACGAGUAACUAAGAAUGGUAUUGGCAAAGUCUUCUAAACAUAUGACCAAUGGAACAUAAGAGCUUGUUGACUCUGGAGGAACUGCCCUUCCAAAGGGUAGCUAAUUCCCAGAAAUAGUAAACAAUUCGCCUUUGAGGACACCUUUCGUACUCAAACCAGCCAACGCAGAGUCUGCACCCCUAGCCACACCCCUAUCCACAUUAUCAAUGUCAUACCUAUGUCCUAAUCAUCCCAGGGCCUGGAGACAACUGCCAAAACCACCAUAAAGCCUCUUGCUCAUGUUCUCCCCAGUCCCUUCUGCCUCCUGAGGAACCCCGGUGUCUACCCAAGUGGCCUUCCUGUAUGGUGUGCCAUACCUAUUGUUUCUAGGGAGCUGUAAGUAUAGAAACUUCUUUUUUCAUAAAUGUCUUUUUUUUGUUUAUGUAUCUUAUUAAACCAAAUCCCAGAUACUUUUAAAACAAUGCUUAACCUCAUUAGGAUGCAAAUAAAAAUCAUAACAAGAUUCUCCAACUUAUCUUCCAGAAUGGCUAGAGUGAAAAGGUUUGAAAAUGCCGAGUAUUUAUAAGAAUAUGGGACAGUGAGAACUUUUACAUCCCACAGAUACUUCUGGUGGGUGUGCAAAUUGGUAUAACUAUUUUGGAAAACAGUUUGGCACCAUCUACUAAAAUUGAAGAUAUAUGUACUCUUUGAUCUACUAUUUCUGCUCCUAGAAGUAUACUCAGCAGAAAAGUAUAACAUUCGCACCAAAAUACAUGAAUAAAAAUGAUCAUGGCAAUGGUAUUUGCAAUAACCAAAAAUUAGAAACAACUCCAAAGUUUAUCAAGUGUAGAAUGUGUAAGUAUAUCAUGGUAUAUUCACAGUGGAAUGCUACAAGGCAGUGAAUAUGAGUGAACUACAACCAUGCACAAUGAAUCUCACAGUGUUGAGCAAAAGAUGCUGGAUACAAGAGUAUCUAAUGUUGGAGUUCCUGUUGUGGCGAAGUGGUUAACGAAUCCGACUAGGAACCAUGAGAUUGCAGAUUCGAUCCCUGGCCUUGCUCAGUGGGUUAAGGAUCUGGUGUUGGUUGCUGUGAACUGUGGUGUAGGUCGCAGAUGUGGCUCGGAUCCUGCGUUGCUGUGGCUGUGGCAUAGGCUGGUGGCUACAGCUCCGAUUCAACCCCUAGCAUGGGAACUCCAUAUGCCAUGGGAGUGGCCCAAGAAAUGGCAAAAAGACAAAAAACAGAAAAGAAAAAAAAA
rnacentral:lncRNA from 1 species